UACGGAGGGUGCAAGCGUUAUCCGGAUUCACUGGGUUUAAAGGGUGCGUAGGCGGAAUUGUAAGUCCGUGGUGAAAUCUCCGAGCUUAACUCGGAAACUGCCCUGGAUACUAUAGUUCUUGAAUGUUGUGGAGGUUUGCGGAAUAUGUCAUGUAGCGGUGAAAUGCUUAGAUAUGACAUAGAACACCGAUUGCGAAGGCAGCAGGCUACACAACUAUUGACGCUGAGGCA
rnacentral:rRNA from 1 species